CAGUAGCCACGGUAAUACGGAUGGUGCAAGCGUUAUCCGGAUUUAUUGGGUUUAAAGGGUCCGUAGGCGGACUUAUAAGUCAGUGGUGAAAGCCUGUCGCUUAACGAUAGAACUGCCAUUGAUACUGUAAGUCUUGAGUAUAUUUGAGGUAGCUGGAAUAAGUAGUGUAGCGGUGAAAUGCAUAGAUAUUACUUAGAACACCAAUUGCGAAGGCAGGUUACCAAGAUAUAACUGACGCUGAGGGACGAAAGCGUGGGUAGCGAACAGGAUUAGAUACCCGCGUAGUCCCUGUCUCUUAUAC
rnacentral:rRNA from 1 species